UACGUAGGUUGCAAGCGUUGUCCGGAUUUACUGGGUGUAAAGGGCGUGUAGGCGGAGCUGCAAGUCAGAUGUGAAAUCCCGGGGCUCAACCCCGGAACUGCAUUUGAAACUGUAGCCCUUGAGUAUCGGAGAGGCAAGCGGAAUUCCUAGUGUAGCGGUGAAAUGCGUAGAUAUUAGGAGGAACACCAGUGGCGAAGGCGGCUUGCUGGACGACAACUGACGCUGAGGCGCGAAAGCGUGGGGAGCAAACAGG
rnacentral:rRNA from 1 species